rnacentral:lncRNA from 1 species
GACCACGAGCUGUUUAAUGCGCUCCUUGAAGGCUUCCUCAUCUUUGUCUUUCUUGAUUGUAAUCCCAGAAUCUGACGGAGCCUCCGCUAGAGCAUCCUUCAACCCAAGAAUCGACAGAUGAGCUAAUAUCCUUUUCUUCCACAUCGAGAAAUCGCCUUGCCCGUCGAAACAUGCAAUCUUGACUUUCGCCAUCGAUUCUUUCAUCGGUUACCGUAACCUGGUGCUCUGAUACCACUUUGUUGUGAAUCGAUCUCUCUCACUUGUAGCUAGAUCCUAAGACUACUUCUUCUCUCUCGUUUCACUCUCUAUUGACCUCACACACUCUCGAUUUCUCUUGUGUGUUUAUGAAAUAGAAAAGAACAAAAGAAGACACAACGAGAUUUGUUUACCCUGUUCGGGAUUCGAUGUGAAUCCGUACGUAUGGGGCUUGACGGC